ensembl:snRNA U6 U6 spliceosomal RNA
GUGCUCACUUUGGCAGCACAUACGCUAAAACUGGAAUGAUACAGAGAAGAUUAGCAUGGCCCCUGUGCAAGGAUGACAUGCAAAUUAAAAAAAAUUUUUUUUUGUUU